rnacentral:rRNA from 1 species
ACCCAAUAGAUACCCAGGUAGUCCACGCCCUAAACGAUGCAUAUUUGGUGUGGGCAGUUCAUUCUGUCCGUGCCGGAGCUAACGCGUUAAAUAUGCCGCCUGGGGAGUACAGUCGCAAGGCUGAAACUCAAAGGAAUUGACGGGGGCCCGCACAAGCGGUGGAGCAUGUGGUUCAAUUCGACGCAACGCGAAGAACCUUACCUGGGCUCGAACGGCUGGUCAACGGCGGUGGAAACAUCGCUACCCCGCAAGGGGGUCCAGUCGAGGUGCUGCAUGGCUGUCGUCAGCUCGUGUCGUGAGAUGUUGGGUUAAGUCCCGCAACGAGCGCAACCCUUGUCCUGUGUUGCCAUACCGAAAGGUGGAACUCGCAGGAGACCGCCAGGGAUAACCUGGAGGAAGGUGGGGAUGACGUCAAGUCCUCAUGGCCUUUAUGUCCAGGGCUACACACGUGCUACAAUGGACGGUACAAAGCGCAGCGAACUCGCGAGAGGGAGCCAAUCGCAAAAAACCGUUCUCAGUUCGGAUUGCAGGCU